AGUCUCCAAAUUCCUUAACCCUCAGAUCUAAAUAUUGGUCUGAGUGACUUAAAAAGGGGAGAAGUAAAACUGAAGUGGACGUCAGACGCAUACAAGUUCAUCCCCAACACAA
rnacentral:snoRNA from 1 species